rnacentral:rRNA from 1 species
AUUGAACGCUGGCGGCGUGCUUAACACAUGCAAGUCGAGCGGUAACAGGCGUAGCAAUACGUGCUGACGAGCGGCGAACGGGUGCGUAAUACAUCGGAAUCUGCCUCGUAGUGGGGAAUAACCCGGCGAAAGCCGGGCUAAUGCCGCAUACGAUCCACGGAUGAAAGCGGGGGACCGUAAGCCUCGCGCUAUGAGACUGAGCCGAUGUCGGAUUUAGCUAGNGGUUGAGGUAACGGCUCACCAAGGCGACCGAUCCGUAGCUGGUCUGAGAGGACGGCCAGCCACACUGGGACUGAGACAC